rnacentral:sRNA from 1 species
CACACACGGAUCAUUGGUUUCGGUCGGGAGACAUCCGGUCGGCGCCUCCGGUGGCGGGUUUCCGCCUGAAGGUCCGUGGAGGUUCAACCGGAAAGGAAACUA